CAGCCGCCACGGUAAUACGUAGGUGGCAAGCGUUGUCCGGAAUUAUUGGGCGUAAAGGGCUCGCAGGCGGUUUCUUAAGUCUGAUGUGAAAGCCCCCGGCUCAACCGGGGAGGGUCAUUGGAAACUGGGAAACUUGAGUGCAGAAGAGGAGAGUGGAAUUCCACGUGUAGCGUGAAAUGCGUAGAGAUGUGGAGGAACACCAGUGGCGAAGGCGACUCUCUGGUCUGUAACUGAUGCUGAGGAGCGAAAGCGUGGGGAGCGAACAGGAUUAGAUACCCCAGUAGUCCCUGUCUCUUAUACA
rnacentral:rRNA from 1 species